CUGUUCCCCGUCCGAAUCACUGCUUCUGGGGAAAGUCAACAGUUUGCCAUGAGAACAUGUGAGCAGCCUGUAGAAACAAUCACCCAGUGAGAACCUGAGACCUCCUGCCAAUGACCAUCACCAACUUGCCAGCCACGUGGUCAGGCCACCUUGGAAAUGGAUCCUCAGCCUCACUCAAGUGCUCGGACGAAUGCAGUGCCAAUCAAAAUCUUGACUAUCCUCUUAUAGGAGAUCCUGAGAGAGAACCACCCAUAUAAGCCCCUAAUCUAGAGGAACUUGCAAAGGCUGGAUGUGCAUGCCUCUGCCACGUUGUAAGUCUGGGCUACAGGUUCUGGACUGAAACUGCUGACCAAUGUCACUUGGAAUUUAUUGAAGUUAUAAACAAAUGACUGUGCUGCAUGGACAAGAAAUGAUGGAGACGGAGCCUGGAUGUGCUGUGCUUUCUGUGCUGAUCAAAUAAAACGUGCAGCCAACUUCA